rnacentral:lncRNA from 1 species
AAUGCUCUCCCGAGGGACUGCUUAUAUCUCCGUUCACGGCAGAGUGGGACUUGCCUUCUACACACACUCACUCACUGCAAUGAAACAAGGAAACAGUUUGAGGGUUCUCCAGGAGUGGGGCUGUGGCCCUUGACCCUUAGUCUCCAUGACCAGACUGCUGAUAUCCGCUGCCAAACCUCCCUGACCGGAGUUGUGUGCUGUCCAGGACCUACCACUGACCAAAUCCCCUCAGCCCACAGUCUGUCCACCUGCUGGGUGAGUGACCACCAGGCUGGAUGGCCUUGAUUGUCUGAUCUAACGACACUGUCCAAUUGGCAUAACUCUUGGCCAGGCAAGUCCCUCUAUGGCCCUGCUCCAUCUCCAUAGUCCUAAGAGGAACAAGUUGCUCAUGUGUAAUUAGAGAGAUCCAUAAGAGGAGUGUAACUGGGCAGGGAAAAGGUGAUCUUAGUAACCAGGAAAUCGCAUCAUAGACACAACUCCCGUUAUUCUACGUACAAAGCCCAGUCCUAAUCAUAGAAACAAAACUACAACAACAACAACACAAUGAUCAUAGUAGCAGCACACUGCUAAUUAAAUGCUACUAUGUACCAGGUUCAGUGGAUUAACUGUUACUCCUCACCAUUAACACUAUGUGCAGCUAUGAUGUUACCCUCGUUUCAUAGAUAAGGAUCUCGGAGCAGAGAGAGUUUAGAUACCUUGCUCAUCCAGAAUGGGGCACAGUCAGGACUUGACCCAGGCAG